GGAGAAAGGGUGUAGCUCGGUGGUAGAGUAUUUGCUCUGCGUGCAACAGUUCCCAAGUUCAAUCCCCGGCAUCUCCA